AAGUGGCAUGGGAGAUGAAAGCGGUGCUCAGGUUUUCUCUUGCCUGAGGCUGUGCUUACCAUGAUCCUCUUUUUCCGCAGGACUCGAUGUUUUCUGAUAUUCCUUGCAGCCGCCCUAUGUGAUGUGGCUGGACUGGUCCUCCUCGUCCUUGGGCUCUGUCGCUUUCUGAGCUCCUGGGAUUUCUUUGUUUAUACUGGAGCGCUGCUCUUGGCUUUCAGCCUGUUAUUCUGGGUUUUUGGGUAUACACUCAACAUUGAGGUCCCAUUCAGGGAACUAGGGAUUCGAUCACUGAAUAACUAAAGGAUUUUGCAGAAGCAAACAUCUCCACCCAGCUAGAAAACAGCCUCAGUUGCCUUGAUAAGCCAACUGGAUGGCGGAAGAGAACUUUGCUCCUUCUCCCCACCGCAAUGUGCAUACCAACCCCAGGGGAAGAAACUCAUCAGCAUCUAACAAGAUUUCUGCUCUGAAUACAACCUGUUGAACUGAAGGACUGAGACCAACUUGUACUACAUAAGAAUGCUCCUUUGCAUGGCUGAGUUGACACAUCCCGCCAAGCCAACAACAUGGUGUUCACAUCUUUAGGUGUCUACCUGAAGAUUUUUCCGUCACUGGUGCACUCCAGUUUAUUGAUUUACAGUGAUCCCCACACUGACCUAAUUUCUGCCAAUAAAGAUGCAUAGCUAACUUGUAUCUCAAUGAGGCCUUGUGGUGCAUUGACAGCCAAUCUUGUGAAUGUUCAGUACAUCUUAUUUAUAAAUAUUCAGAAGAGACUCAACCAAACAGGAUACUGCAGCAAUAUGACAAUGCUGGUUGACUGCUUGUUCAACCUGUCCCACAGCAUUCUCUGUCCCAUGAUCUGCUUGACCAUCAUAACUGGUGACAGCAGGUUUCAAAGAAGAACUAUUACCAAAUCCUGUGUGUGAUAUCUCUGGAUGGCCAUUUGGCACAGAGACCUUCACAAAUUCUAUAACUCCAAACGUUGCCUGUACUAUGUCACUGGGAUGAAGGGGGAGAGAAAGAGAAUGGAUUGAUACUUCUUAAUUGAACAGGGAAAGGAUUGUGGAUUCUGAAAAUAGUGAAACAUGAACUUGUUGCCUCUGGUGGAAGUUGUGAGUGAUACAAUUGCUUUAGUUAGAAAGCCAUUAGAAAGGCCCAUAUUGUCUAGCAAUGAAGCUCCAAAGAGGAGAUUUGGUUGAAGAUAUUCACCAGAUAUGGCAAGCUUUGUUGAUAGUCCAUACGUUGUUAUAUUGGAAAGAUUCAUUUUGGUCAGCCUUGGUUAUCUGGAGGGACAGUUUCAUGUUCUACAAUACUCUAGAGGAGGUCUAUGUCCAAGAAUCAGAAGAAGAGAUCAGAAACAUUUGUUGAAGCCCUGAGACUCUGGGGAUACCGUACAUGUUACAAUGUUGGAUGAGGUUAUGACAUUUUGAGAUAAAUAUCAGAGUUCACAGAUCAACUCUUGAUAAUUGAUUGGUUUAGACCUCUUUGAAGUAAUAUGUACCUUUUCUGCAGCUUGGAGUAAAGAAAAGAGUGUGUCAAAGAAAAAAAGAACUGUCAGAAUGAAAAGUGUCUUUCUUUCCUCCGAGUCCUGCUUCAGCCCCAUCCUGCUUUGGCAUGUUGUCUGCUAUAUCCUAAAGAAUGCUGCAUUUAAUCAUUUAAAAGAUUGUCCAUACUUUUUCAAGUUUAUUGGAAAAGGCAAGGGUUGGGAGACCAACCAAGUAUUUCAAAAGCAGCUUUGGGGGCUUGCAUUCUCUCAUAAUCUACCUAUUUACCUUGCUGCCAGCAUCAAAGAAGCUACCAUAAAUAGUAUGUGCAUAUGUAGUAUAUGCACGGUAUGGACAUAUGUAGUGGCUCAGUGGCUAAGAAGCUGAGCUUGUUGAUCAGAAAGGUUGGCAGUUUGGUGGUUCGAAUCCCUA